GAGCAAUUCAUCUUUAGACUGGGAGGAGCUGGAGCUCAAGAUAUCUCAGUUCACAAAGCCAAUAAAAGUUGAGGUGCCUGUCUCCUGAUACAAAGACAUGAUAACACAGGCAGAGUCACCUGAAAGAUGCAAAUAUUACUCUUGAGGACCAGCAGGUAGAGCAAGGAGGGCUCCAUAAUGCCCUAGGAGGUUUUGGAGUAGCUUAGAAGGCUUUUAGUAUUUAUGUUUUGUUUAUUUGGGACUUGUACUAGUGAGACUAUUAAAUUAUAUAUUUGUACCAGGACUUUACUUUGAUUAAACUUGCUUAAACUGAUGUAUUAUUUUUCUAGACUUGGAUUAGAGACUUUGUUGAUAUUUCCUUUCU